rnacentral:rRNA from 1 species
AGUGAACGCUGGCGGUGGGCCUAACACAUGCAAGUCGAACGGCAGCACAGGAGAGCUUGCUCUCUGGGUGGCGAGUGGCGGACGGGUGAGGAAUACAUCGGAAUCUACUCUGUCGUGGGGGAUAACGCAGGGAAACUUACGCUAAUACCGCAUACGACCUACGGGUGAAAGCAGGGGACCUUCGGGCCUUGCGCGAUUGAAUGAGCCGAUGUCGGAUUAGCUAGUUGGCGGGGUAAAGGCCCACCAAGGCGACGAUCCGUAGCUGGUCUGAGAGGAUGAUCAGCCACACUGGAACUGAGACACGGUCCAGACUCCUACGGGAGGCAGCAGUGGGGAAUAUUGGACAAUGGGCGCAAGCCUGAUCCAGCCAUACCGCGUGGGUGAAGAAGGCCUUCGGGUUGUAAAGCCCUUUUGUUGGGAAAGAAAUCCAGCUGGCUAAUACCCGGUUGGGAUGACGGUACCCAAAGAAUAAGCACCGGCUAACUUCGUGCCAGCAGCCGCCGUAA